GUCAUAGUUCAGUGGAAGAGCAGCUGCUUUGCAUGCAGAAGGUCCCAGGUUCAAUCCUUGAUAGCAUAUCCA